AGUGAACGCUGGCGGUAGGCCUAACACACGCAAGUCGAACGGCAGCACAGGAGAGCUUGCUCUCUGGGUGGCGAGUGGCGGACGGGCGAGGAAUACAUCGGAAUCUACUCUGUCGUGGGGGAUAACGUAGGGAAACUUACGCUAAUACCGCAUACGACCUACGGGUGAAAGCAGGGGACCUUCGGGCCUUGCGCGAUUGAAUGAGCCGAUGUCGGAUUAGCUAGUUGGCGGGGUAAAGGCCCACCAAGGCGACGAUCCGUAGCUGGUCUGAGAGGAUGAUCAGCCACCCUGGAACUGAGACACGGUCCAGACUCCUACGGGAGGCAGCAGUGGGGAAUAUUGGACAAUGGGCGCAAGCCUGAUCCAGCCAUACCGCGUGGGUGAAGAAGGCCUUCGGGUUGUAAAGCCCUUUUGUUGGGAAAGAAAUCCAGCUGGCUAAUACCCGGUUGGGAUGACGGUACCCAAAGAAUAAGCACCGGCUAACUUCGUGCCAGCCGCCGCCGUAA
rnacentral:rRNA from 1 species